ensembl:lincRNA
AGCCCCGGACCUGCAGGUGGGGGUGGUAGCGGCACAUGGGGGUCCUCGCCCACCGCGUUGCCUUCUCUCCGCCUCAGAAUCUCCCUCACCCCAGGGCCAGGUCGCUAGCGACCUCCCGAGGGCGAGGCCGGCUUGGGGACACUGUGGGGCCCGGGGACCCACCCAGUCUUCGAGACUCUAUUUGCGUAACGGAGACGGCUCGCUUCCUCCCCGCCCCUCCGCCGCGCUCUUCCUCCCUCCUCCCCCAGUCUACCCACUAUGCAUCCCGGGUACCCCGGCUCCUCCGACUACUACUCAGCGGACCUACCCGGACUCCCGCGUGGGGCUCCCAGCUCCUGGCUUCUCCUGCCCGCGCCCCGCGCGGAGUCAGCAGGCACCUGGGGGCGGGAGGCCUGGGCAGGGCCGGGCUGGAGAAGACGCUGGGGCAGUGCCCCGCACUAACAAAGGGAGCCCGCCGCUGGCCGGCGUGGGCGCAAAGCGGGCGGCCGCUGCGGAGUCCGCCAAGGAGCUGCAGCCUCCGCGGCAGAGUGCGCAGCGACCAGUCAAUCAGUCCAGAAAUCUUGAGGUCAAACCUGUUAUGUGCUCAGCCAUGUGUGACAAGGGAGGAGAAGAUUCAUCCCCUUUCUCAAAAGUUCCAGGGUCAUUUGGGAGCCCAGGAAUUACCUGUGAACCUUUUCAGGUUAGUUAAUUCAUAGAAGCCUUUUGUACUGAAAAGGGGGUGAUGAUUGUGGGCUGGAAAAAUCUGGAGCAAGAGGGCCUUGAGCUGUCUCUUUUAGGAUGAGUAGGAUUUUGGAAGGUGGAAGGCAUGAUGUUUGUGUAAAAUAUUCCAUUUCACUCAGCAAUGAAGGGGAUAUCUUUUGCCUACUCCCCCACCUCCAAGAUAAUUUCUAGGUUGGAGUUGGUUCUUGGGUUGGAGAGGCAGUAUGGUACAUUCAAUCAUUCAUUUAUGCUUUAAUUAAUUCAAUAUGGUUUGUUGAAAAUAAAUUAGUAAAGAGCUCAAAGACAGGUUGAGGAAACUACAGAAUGAGAUAAAAGAGGGUAAUUAUAGAGCUAAAGAAAACAUGGAGAGAAAACAUCAUUACAGAAAAAAAUAAAUGAACAGAAAAAAAUAAAUGAACAGAAUAGAAUCAAUUGAAAAUUAAAUUAUUAACAAAGAGGAAAAGGUUGAGGAAAAUCACAGCAUGUGCUGAGAAAAAAGAAAAGGAAAUUAAAUCAGGUAAUCAGAGAUCUAAAGGUCAAAUAGAGACGAUCCUUCAUUAGGAUGACUGGUAAACCUGAAGAGGCACAUCAUGUUGGACCAGAACAGUCACAUGGACAUAACUGGCUACAAAGUAGGCUGGGAAAAAGUCUCCACCUGGCCAGUUGGCUUAAAACUCAGGUUUGGGGAAGGUCUGUUAUCAGGGUAAUUAAUAGAAGAGGAAGAAUAUGGAUACGGGAACAAUUAGUCUUUGCUAUAGGAGAAAAGUCUUGUUGGCCUCAAAUUUGAUUUGCAGCAGAAGAAAGACUUAAAACAUGGGGAAGAAAAGUUUAGAGUUCUGAGGGAGGGACAGUGUGAAUGAAGACUUUUACGCUCAAUUAAAUGAGUAUGCAAGUAUAAAGGGGGCAGACAGUCUUAUAUGAGCAAGAACUCCAGGGCUCUAGCACAUCUGAGCCCUUCUUGGAAAAACCUAUUUGGCAAUGAAAAAGUAGUUAAUCAAAAAACGCACUUAUUAAUGGAUGUAUCAUAAUGAUGGGGGAGAGUGUUGCUGUGGGGGGAGUGGCCGGGUGGGGGGGUGGG